GAUGAACGCUAGCUACAGGCUUAACACAUGCAAGUCGUGGGGCAUCAUGAUGUAGUAAUACAUUGAUGGCGACCGGCGCACGGGUGAGUAACGCGUAUCCAACCUACCCUCCACUCAAGUAUAGGCUUCCGAAAGGGAGAUUAAUCCUUGAUAUCGUCAUUCUCUCUCCUGUUAGAAUGAUAAAAGGACAUCGUUUCGGUAGAGGAUGGGGAUGCGUUCCAUUAGGUAGUAGGUGGUUUAACAGGCCACCUAGCCGAUGAUGGAUAGGGGUUCUGAGAGGAAUAUCCCCCACACUGGUACUGAGAUACGGACCAGACUCCUACGGGAGGCAGCAGUGAGGAAUAUUGGUCAAUGGGCGCAAGCCUGAACCAGCCAUGUAGCGUGAAGGAUGACGGUUUUUUUGAUUGUAAACUUCUUUUCUGUGCGAUUAAAGUGUGGCAUUUAUGCCAUAUUGCAGUA
rnacentral:rRNA from 1 species